ACAGAUUUGUAUUUUUACGUAUUAAUACCUAACUUAGGAGUGUUUUUUUUUGAUAUUUAUAUGUUAGUUACGGCUCAUACUAGGUAUACAAUAACCAAGCAAAAUUUCAUCGACAGAAAUUAAUGCAUGGGUCUCCAUACAACAACUACACCUAUUUCCUACACUAUUUGGGCUUAGAACCUUUUUUGUCUAUAAAUACUCAGUUACUGUUAUUCUAAAACAAAAAAAUUGCAUGUUUUCAAAUAUUGACAACGUCACGACAUGACAACGCGUAACAACAUCGUAACAAUGAGUGGAUCAUAAGUAAUUGUUACUAUAUUUGUCAUAUAUUUAUUUUAUAAGUAAGUAUUUCAUAAGUAAAAAUGUUAAUAUAUAUCAUAUUACAGUCGUUCCCCAAAAAGUUCGGAAGGUACCGGCCGGUACGUAACCGGGAGCUGGCGGUGGGGUUCGUGACAACGGGGCUUGGGGGUCGCUCGUCGACCAAGGACGGGUGAUCUCGCGUAGCGCCCUUCCUCAACGGCCUCCCUGGUGUCCAUAAAAGUCCACAGGGCUGGGCUACUCAUUGGUCCAAGUAUAAAAAUCGCAUCAGAAGCAAAAUAAGAAACAUUAAAAUCUUGGCGACGGGGACGGGCGGAGGUCCGGCAACCAAACUGAGGUUGUCGGCCAAUGAACAGCGGGUGCAUCGUUUGUUGGGGCCACUAUUUGGUGGCUCCAUGCCAAAUGUGCAGGUGCCCGUGUUCGGAGAGAGGGAGGGAGACGACGAAGCACCCAGGCCAAGGGCCCAAAGAGAAAACGUGGAGGAUCCGGGUGCGCCACCUCCAGAUUUAUCGGCAAGACCCAGACCACCGUGGGCAACCCAGGAGCCCCUCUCAGAAUCGACCGGCCCAGGUGCCGCACCCAGGCGGAACUUAUCGGUGGCCUCGCCAAAUGCCGGCACUAGGGGCACUGGUGCAGGCCUGGCGACGGAGUCCCCCCAGUCCUCCCGCCCAGGUGCCGCACCCAGGUGGGACCCAUGCGUGCCCUCGCCAAAAGACGGCACUAGGGGCACGGGCGCAGGCCUGGCGAAAGAGACCCCCCAGUCCUCCCGCCCAGGUGCCGCACCCAGUUGGGAGUAGGACCCAUGGGCGACCUCGCCAAAUGCCGGCACUAGGGGCACGGGCGUUUUGUGUAUAUAUUAUGUAUUAAUAUAUCAAAUAACUCGUUAAUAAGAGUUUUGAAUGAUUCACGGUUAGUUUCACUAGACUUAUAUUGACCGAAAUACAAAAGGUACUAACGGUCUAUAUCCCGGUCAAUAUAAGUCUAGUGGAAGUUGUUAAUAGCAUUACACUGUCUUAUCUUAUCUACCGUAUAAAUAUUGAUUAUGAUUAUGCAUUUGGAAAGUAUCAAAUUAGAACCUGCUGAAACUUUUUCAUUGUUAGGUUUGAAUAUACCGUGGAAUAUACUUACUCGAAUUUAAUUUAGCCUAGAUGGUAGUGACAUCGAGUCAUUGGUUGCUUACGAAGCAGGAGGUCCCGGGUUCGAAUCCGUUAGGACAUUUAUGUGUGUGUUAAUAAUAUAAUAAAAGCUGAAGACGUGGGUUCGAUUCCCGCCUCGGCUACCGGUGGACUUGGUCACUUUUUAUUUAGUGUCUGAUAUCUAUUUUAGUUUAAAAUUUAUAUACAGUAGUGCGACUAUCUAAAAAACCAUAAAAAUAAAUAAUUUCAUAAAAAUAAUUUAAUUUGUUCCCCAGUUGAAUUAUUCCUGAGUUCUGGAUGUUUUCUAUGUAUAAAAGUAUUCAUAUACAUACAUCGUCGUCUAGUAGCCUUAUUAUUGAACUUAUUGUGAAACUAGUUCAAUCUGUGUUAAAUUGUCCUUUAAUAUUAUGUAUCUAUUUAUACUACAGUCCCAUCAGCAUGCAGCGCUCUAUAUACGGGAAUUGAUAUAUCUAUUCUAUGACUCUUUUCUUUCCGGUCAGACUCUCAAAUGUAUGCAGAGCUUGAGAACAUACUUUAAAAAGCUCGGAAUGUCGACGAUUGCGUGUUUUUAUGUUUUUAGGGUUCUGUACCCAAAGGGUAAAAAACGGGACCCUAUAACUUAAACAGUGGACUGUCUAUCUGUCUGUCUGUCCGUCUGUCACCAGGCUAUAUCUCAUGAACUGUGAUAUCUAGACAGUUGAAAUUUUCACAGAUGAUGUAUCUCUGUUGCCGCUACAACAACAAAUUUAAUACUAAAAACUAAAUAAAAUAAAUAUUUAAGUACGGAACCCUUCGUGCGCGAGUCCGACUCGCACUUGGCCGGAUUUUUAAUAUAGAUUAGUUUUCAAUCACACAUAGCAACUUUAAGGCGGGAUGCCACCAAUGUGCGGCACAAGCAUAUUCAUUACUAAAAUGUUGUUUAGUAAUUAAAGGAUUGGGAGUAGGUUAAUUAGGUUAGGGUAGUUAAUUAGGUUGGAUUAUGGGCUGAAUCAUGUAAAAAAAAGUUGGGGCCAUCGCUUGGUCAUUUGUGUAUUGGUGCCACAGUGCCACUACCUUAGUAGUUGUACGAGUUAUGUACCUAAUUAUUUUUAUUACAGCAUACCCUGCCCUUAGUGCCCUGGAAACGGCAGAAGCGUCAAUCCAGGACCUAGAGCGUCGCCAUGCGGCCAACGACGCUACAUUGGGGCAGGCUAUGCUCCGCGUCGCGCGGAACAUGGAACUGCUCAUCACGUCCCAUGAAGCCCACAACACGGCUUCAUGAGCAGGUUGUGAGGCUCAUAACCUCACGUGAUGAGCAGUUCAAACAGUAUCAAACCACGACCAACAGCCUGCUACAUCACAUGUCAAGGCAGCAUGAUGCUCUUAUAAGAUUGCUCGAUGUAAUGGCAAGCCGUGUUUGCUCGUCAAAUCGGGAAGAAGGACGUAAUGACGAAUGACGAUGAAUACAGAACAGGAUGACUCUUCCGUCAUGCCCGUCCGCCCGUAUUACCCAACCAGAUGCUUUUGGUCGUCAUCCGGAGACAACGACAUCAACAUCAACUAUCAACCUCCAGAGUUUACCCAGGCCAUUAUGAUUAUUUCUUAGAAUUCACACAUUUUUAUUACACACUUUUAUUUAGCUUGACGCCGUAUAUCCAAACUAUCUUUGUAUUUGUGUGUGCUUCAAAUCUUGAAACUUAAAUUUGAACCACUUGCCGAUGUCUGAUUCAGUUGAAAUUUGGAGUACAUCCGUAAUUCCCAAGACAAUGCAAUAAUAUGCUAACAUGGAGCUGAUCUGAUGAACCAGUCAGAAUAAGUAGCAAACUUAACUCUUCUAUGGAAAAACACAAACACAUUGAGUUUGGGUUCAUUAGAAAGGUCUCGUACAGUCAGCAGUAAAAGUGUGUCAGUAACUCGUAUACUCCACAACAUGUGACAUUAUGAAUUGUCACGAAUUAAAAUAUUUUCUAUAAAUAAUUUAAUUUGUUCUCAUUCUUCAGAAAGUUUUGUUAUCUGAGAAGCCGCUUAAUAUUGUAAUGAUAAUACAUACUUAUACGAAUUCUUAGCUAAAAUUGUAAAGCAUGGUCACUAUCUUGAAUUUUUUUAUUCUUGGUAUGAGCAUGUUAAAAAAUGUAUAGAGUUAGACCAAAAAAAGUUUGCAAUGAUUUUGGUAGCACACGCAGUGCGUUAUUUUAAACAUUAAACUCCUAUGUAAUUAUGACGUUUAAAUAACACUUGCACUACGUUUGCUAUUUAAAUUGUUGCAGACUUAUCUUGGUCCAACUAUGUAUCUGAGGAUUCGAAAGGCUUUGUCAUAGUAAUCCGAAGUCAAAAUUGUAAAUAAUGGCCACCAUCUUGAAUUCCUUAAUUUUUGCCCUGCGGUGUCAGCAUGGUUGCAUUUUUAUCACCUGUCACUAUGCCUGCCACUUUUGCACUUACAUACUUGUUAGAACGUGACAGGCAUGGUGACAGGCGAUAAAAAUGCUACCGUGCUAAGCCCGCGGAUCAUAAUGAAAAUUGAUAUAAGAAUUGGGGAUUUAAGUGGCCCUUUAACAUAUUACAUAUUAAUUAGUAGUUAAAAUUGUAAGAAACGGCACGUGUUAUGAAUUUGUACAUAUUGUGUUCAAUUGCGUCGAAAAUGUAAUAGGUACUUAAGUAGAUGUAGAUAAAUAUAAAUAAUAUGAACAUAUAAAUCUUCUCUAUAGGUUUUUCGAAAAGUGAGUUCUCAGUUCGGGGCGAACUACUAUCGUUUACCGUAGUCAGGUUUCAGCUCCAAAUCUUCUACAAAACAUAAUUAUAUCGAUCUCUGUACAGAAAAUUACAGACGUGGCGUCUCCGUUUGGUUAUAUCCUCCUAGUGAGUAAAUAGAUCCCUAGUGGCUUUCAUACGUCAUGUUCUCUGGCGUUGCGAUUUGCCAUAGAGCAUAACGUGCUUUCAUAUUGGUUGAUACUGUCGAAGGCCGAAGGCCGAGCUUCGCGUAGGGCCGAAGGCCCGAAGCGUCACACGAGAGGGGGAAGUUGGAGCUUAAACACGACCCAAUAGUAAAAAUGCCUCAGACAAGCGAAACGGCGGGCCGAAGGCCGAAGGCCGUAGGCCCGACGAUAUGAUAAUAAGCUGUGACAGACGGACAGACAGAGACAGGCGCACAAGUGAUCCUAUAAGUAAGCGUUCCGUUUUUUCCUUUUGAGGUACGGAACCCUAAAAAUGUACUCAUGCCAGUCCAUUGACAGAGCCCGGUAACGAUUUUAGAUCAAAAAUGUAAAAUUGAUAGAUUUUAGUCUUUGAAAUUGUACACCUUUUGUUACGUAAUUAUCUAAAUAACAAGUAUUGGUUUCUGUUAGCACGUAUUCUCAUCAUGCGUUUUAAUAAUGAGGUCGCGAGCGUGCGUCACUGGUAAUAUAUGAAGAGAAGGGGCAGUUUUUAAAAAUUCAUAAAAAUAAAAUGGUAAAUUAUACAAAAUGAUGUAUAAGAAUAGUUUCAGCAAAUUUUGUAGAUUAUUGAAGUAUCAAAAUUACGUUGAAAUUAUGUCUAUUUUCAGAGAAAUUGUCACUUGUUUUGAAGUAAUUUCUGGAGAAAAUUGAUUUCAUCUAACUUUCAUUUACACUACUUCAAAGUCAUAAUAAUAAAAAUGUAGUCUGUACAGGAUAUGUGUAAUACAAAAUUACCAUUUUUAGCAGUCCAAACUUUACGAAAUUUACAAAUAAGAGCGACAAAAUCAGUGCUUUACGCGCGUUUACCUAAACGUCCAACAGAAAAAAAAAACAUUACUAAUUUUGUGAACCUGUUUUCAAAAAAUUGAUCUGUAAAACGGCAAGAUGAGAAGACGUGCUAAUAGAAACUUGUUAUUUCUAUUACGUAUCAAACGUUGUAUAAUUUUACCGACUUAAUCUAUCAAUUUUACGGUUUUGCGACUAAAAUCGAUAACGGAUUCUUAAACGUUUAGCUUAAAAUUGUGAAAUUAAUUAUAUGUAGUGAUUGCACACAACUAUACACAUCAUUUAUUAGUAAAUUAAGUUCAUAAUAAACGUAAUGUAAAAGUAAUUUGUUACUGUUUUCGGUUUAAAUAAUAAAUUAUUCUCGGUACAUAGUCAAAUAGUAUGCUAUUGUUCAAUUAUCAAUUUUCCUUGACACUUGACAUAGUGAUUGGCAUACACGCCGUUUUGUCGCCUAAAUAGUGUUUAGUUUUUAAGUUUAUAAAAUGCAUAUAUAUAUAUGUUAGUCUGUAAGGUAUUUGUAAUAUGUGACUUGUAAUUGUUGCCUGAUUUAAAUUUUUAAAUAAAUAAAUAAAUUGUCCUAAAUUGCGUGUUGGUG